UUAUAGUUAAACCAUUUGGAGUUUCUUUGGAGAAUGAUAAAAAUAUUUUAAAACUUAUUGUGAUGAUGGAUGCACAACCCUGUACUGAAAGCUAAGUUUCCAUUAACAGGUGAAAGGAUAACUAAAAUGUAACAGUGGAAUAUUAUUCAUUCUUACAAAGGAAUGAAAUUCUGAUAUCAUCUUAACACAUGGAUUAACCUUGAAAACGUAUGCUAAGUGAUAUAAGCCAGACACAGAAGGACAAAUAUUGUCAAGUUUCCUUGGAGUAUCUAGAAUAAAGACAAAAGGUAGGAUAGUGGUCACCAGGGACUAUGGGGAGAGGGCAAUGAGUUAUUUUUUAAUGGGUUUAUAUAGAGUUUAUGUUUGGGGUGAUAAGUCCUAGAAAUGAAUAGUAGUGAUGAUUAUUGUACAACAUUGUGAAUGAACUUAAUGCCAUUGAAUUGUUGACUUAAAAAAUGGUUACAAAGGUACAUUUUAUGUAUAUUUUACCCCACACAUGAAAUGUUUAAAAAAGUAAUUUUAAGACUGAGAUAUAGGCGGUCGGUUCCUGCAUCCGCUGUUGUCAGUUCCGCUGUAUUCCAGGUAUCUUUUUCAGAACGAAAACCGCCUUAUCAUAUGUUUCAAGGAUGGCUCUUCCUAUCAUUGUAAAAUGGGGUGGACAGGAAUAUUCAGUGACCACACUUUCGGAAGAUGAUACUGUGCUGGAUCUCAAACAGUUUCUCAAGACCCUUACAGGAGUGCUACCAGAACGCCAGAAGUUACUUGGGCUGAAAGUUAAAGGCAAACCUGCAGAAAAUGAUGUUAAACUUGGAGCUCUCAAACUGAAACCAAAUACUAAAAUCAUAAUGAUGGGAACUCGUGAGGAGAGCUUGGAAGAUGUCUUAGGUCCACCUCCCGACAAUGAUGAUGUUGUUAACGACUUUGAUAUUGAAGAUGAAGUAGUUGAAGUAGAAAAUAGGGAGGAAAACCUACUGAAAAUUUCCCUCAGAGUAAAAGAGUACAAAGUGGAAAUUUUGAAUCCUCCCAGGGAAGGGAAAAAACUUUUGGUACUAGAUGUUGAUUAUACGUUAUUUGACCAUAGGUCUUGUGCAGAGACGGGUAGAAUUAAUGCGGCCAUAUCUUCAUGAAUUCCUAACAUCUGCAUAUGAGGAUUAUGACAUUGUUAUUUGGUCUGCAACAAAUAUGAAGUGGAUUGAAGCUAAAAUGAAAGAGCUGGGAGUGAGUACAAAUGCAAAUUACAAGAUUACCUUCAUGUUGGACAGUGCUGCUAUGAUAACAGUGCAUACUCGAAGGAGAGGAUUAAUAGAUGUAAAGCCUCUUGGUGUUAUAUGGGGAAAGUUUUCGGAGUUUUACAGCAAGAAAAACACCAUCAUGUUUGAUGACAUAGGAAGAAAUUUUCUAAUGAACCCACAGAAUGGACUAAAGAUAAGACCUUUUAUGAAAGCACACCUAAAUCGAGAUAAAGACAAAGAGCUUUUAAAAUUAACCCAGUACCUCAAGGAAAUAGCAAAACUAGAUGAUGUUUUGGACCUGAAUCACAAAUAUUGGGAAAGGUAUCUCUCAAAGAAGGAAGGACAGUAGUUACAAACUGUACUGGCAGUUAUUGAAGAUACUUGAUAUCCAGGAACAACUUCUCACUUUUAUGCUAAAGAUCAUUAUGAUGGUGCUGGACACUGCAGCAUAUACCGACUGCUUAUACUUGGUCUUCCAGUUUUUUUUUGUAAAUUUAAUUUUAUAUUUUUUGAAGAUCAUAGCAAUAUGCCAAAAAAGAAGAAAAAACUCCCCCCAUAUGAAUAUACUAUAACUCUUAAAAAAUAUUUUCUCCAGCAUAGAGUAGUGAGCACCCCCCGCCCCACCCCCCCCCACACAGAGUGGCAGAAAUGUAUACUUAACAAUGUCAUUUUGUGACUUUGGAAACAAGUAUGUGUUGUGUUUUUGUCUCAAUGUGUUGUCUAAGCCCAAACCCAUCUUGAAACUACUGUUUUUCUCUUUAAAACCAAAAAAAGAAAUGUUUUUAGUAAGGAACCUAAUUUGGUUUGUUUAAAAUCACCAAGAUUUUUUUUUUAUUCCUUUGUCAUAAACACAGUUUCUCUUCUUACUCCACUACUUACAUUUCUAAAUUCUGACCUGUCUCAGUUUGGUCUGUAUGUGUGUCAGUGUUCUUUGAGUAAAACUAGAAAGUGUCUGCUGUGAUACACAUAUGUCAUAAUAUGACAAAUAGUAAACAUAAGAUUGAGGAAUGAAAGUACAGAACUAGAGUGUGUUUCUUUGUGGUGGCCAAGUAGAAGCACUCCUGCCUCAAACCACUGUCUUAAAAGCAGUUAAAAGCAGUACAUUUUCAAAUGGGACAUAUCACUGGUUCAGCCCUGAAAAGCAUGAACAAAAGUUUUUGUUCAGUUCCAGCUCUGUCUUGUAGAAGUGCAGACACUGUAUUUCAGUGAAAAUACCUAGCCAUAAGAUGAAAAAAAAUUUAUUUGCAAUGCUUGUGCCUGCAGAUGUAAUGUGACCACUGUUUUGUGUUGACAGUAUUGCUUUAUACAGUUCUUCUACUUGAAAGGAAUCUGAUUCUUUCAAAUAAGCAUGGUAUAUAUUGUUCUUAUGGGGGACUGUUUCAGUGGUGUAAAUAAUAAAUCUCUUUUCUUAAGACAAAAAAAAUGAGAUAUAGUAACUUUUUUUUGGUAAAGUUAAUGAAACAGGUAAUUGUGUGGUGGCACAUGGAAGGGAGACUGUUUCAUUUUCCCAUGUAACACAGUGUACAUUAGCUGACUGAAUAAUUUAAAUGUGCUUUAAAUGUAAAUGGGAUAAUACUGAGUGUGCUACAUUUUACAAUAAUCAAAAACAAAAUUUUGAUGAGCACAAUUAGACUACAGAUGAAUUGUUGAAAAAUUCAUGAAGUAGAUUAACCUCAUUUAGAUUGGAAAUUUUUUUGACUAUUAAUAUGCAUGGUUGAAUCAUUUUGGUAAUUUCUCGAAAGCAAAUGUUUAUAUUUAAUAGUAGCAUGAGGAUUGCAGUUUUCCAAUAAAUGUCACACAAUAGUGACAGUGAGCUAGGAGGAAGAAAAACUGCAUAAAUGAAGUGAGAUAUGCUUCUAUAACUAUGGAAGCUAUUUGGUUGUUGUUCAGUCACUAAGUGUGUCCUACUCUUUGUGACCCCAUGGACUGCAGCACCCCAGACUUCCC